rnacentral:rRNA from 1 species
AUUGAACGCUGGCGGCAGGCCUAACACAUGCAAGUCGAGCGGAUCGGCGGACGCGUGAGUAAUGCCUAUGAAUCUGCCUGGUAGUGGGGGAUAACGUCCGGGAACGGGCGCUAAUACCGCACACUAUCAGAUGAGCCUAGGUCGGAUUUGCUAGUUGGUGGGUGAAGGGACUACCCAGGCGACGAUCCGUAACUGGUCUGAGAGGAUGAUCAGUCACACUGGAACUGAGACACGGUCCAGACUCCUACGGGAGGCAGCAGUGGGGAAUAUUGGACAAGGGGCGAAAGCCUGAUUCAGCCAUGCCGCGUGUGUGAAGAAGGUCUUCGGAUUGUAAAGCACUUUAAGUUGGGAGGCGUUACCAACAGAAUAAGCACCGGCUAACUUCGUGCCAGCAGCCGCGGUAAUUC